GUGCUCGCUUUGCAGCACGUAUACUAAAAUUGGAACAAUACAGAGAAGAUUAGCUUGGCCCCUAAAAAAAAUAAAAUAAAUCAUCAAAAUAGGGUAUGGACUUUG
rnacentral:snRNA from 1 species